CCAGAGAAAGGAAGACACUUACUCAAUGAUCAUCCAGUGAGUCCAGGUCAGAGUGGGGACUAGCACCCUGGGGUCCCAAAUCCAUGGCUGGUGCCAUCCUACUUUGCUCCCUUAGUCCAUGAGAAGCAGGAGGAGAAUGGGUAAAGGGGUCUGACUUUGAGAUGGUAGAGGGCUCUUUUCUCCUUCCCUGACCUAUAGGCCUGGCUCACAGGACUUCUUGCAGGCACAACAAGGAUGUGGCUGUUGCUUGGGUUCCUGUGCGGUUAUAGUCUGCUGAGCUGUGUCCAGGGAAAUGAAGACUUGGGAGUCUUAUGCACCAUCAGUGAACAGGAGAUUCAGAAGGUAGGUCCAUUUCCCCAAGGGAGGAUUUAUUCACUUUCACCCAGAGGAAUGAGGGGGAGGUCAGAGAAUCAUGAGGUCAUAGAUUUAGUUCUGGAAGGAUUCAUGCAAUGCAAUGGCAGCAUGGAGGGACAAGAUAAUUGGAGGUGGAAUUCUGGAAAAGCAGCUGAAAUUGGUGCAGCUGCCUAACCUGGGAUAUGGGGGUGGCCUCCUUGGCUCUCUCUUGUCUGUUACCAAGAUUCAAAUUCUUAACCUCCUGCAGCCUGAGAAUUUUCUCCAUUCAGUUCUUUGAGAUCUCAGUCAAGCUCAAGCCCAAUCUGGGGAGCCAGCUCAUUAUCCUUCUCAAGCUCAAUGUAGAUGGCAACUGCUUGCUCAAUCUUCUCUCUGGGUUGAUCAACAUCUCUGUGGACCUGCGUCUGAAUGUGGACAUCUGCCUAGGCACUUUUUCGAAAGAGACCAUACAGUUUGUCCCUAACAACUGUUCAAUGACUGUGGGUGCCAUUAAUGUCAAUCUCCUGUCAGGGUAAGGGUUUUGUCAUCGUGUGGGGCUGCCCAUGGUCCAUUGGGUAGAAGUCCGGGCAUC
rnacentral:lncRNA from 1 species